GAAAAGAAACCAACAGGGAUUGCCUCAGUAGCGGCGAGUGAAGCGGCAAAAGCUCAAAUUUGAAAUCUGGCGUCUUUGGCGUCCGAGUUGUAAUUUGAAGAAGGUAUCUUUGGGCCCGGCUCUUGUCUAUGUUCCUUGGAACAGGACGUCACAGAGGGUGAGAAUCCCGUGCGAUGAGAUGACCCGGGUCUGUGUAAAGUUCCUUCGACGAGUCGAGUUGUUUGGGAAUGCAGCUCUAAGUGGGUGGUAAAUUCCAUCUAAAGCUAAAUAUUGGCGAGAGACCGAUAGCGAACAAGUACAGUGAUGGAAAGAUGAAAAGAACUUUGAAAAGAGAGUGAAAAAGUACGUGAAAUUGUUGAAAGGGAAGGGCUUGAGAUCAGACUUGGUAUUUUGCAUGCUGCUCUCUCGGGGGCGGCCGCUGCGGUUUACCGGGCCAGCAUCGGUUUGGAGCGGCAGGAUAAUGGCGGAGGAAUGUGGCACGGCUUCUGCUGUGUGUUAUAGCCUCUGACGAUACUGCCAGCCUAGACCGAGGACUGCGGUUUUUACCUAGGAUGUUGGCAUAAUGAUCUUAAGUCGCCCGUCU
rnacentral:rRNA from 1 species